rnacentral:RNase_P_RNA from 1 species
AAAGCCGGCCGGAUGGUCGCCGGCUCCCCACGGGGAGCGGGAGGAAAGUCCGAGCACCGCAGGGCAGGGUGCUGGCUAACGGCCAGGGGGGGCGACCCCAUGGAAAGCGCCACAGAAAGCAGACCGCCGCCGGCGUUGUCCGGCGGUAAGGGUGAAACGGCGAGGUAAGAGCUCACCAGUCCGGGCGGCGACGCCCGGGGCUAGGCAAACCCCACCCGGUGCAAGACCAAAUAGGGGGGCGUUCGAGGGCGGCCCGCCCGAGGCCCCCGGGUAGGUUGCUGGAGGCGCCGGGCAACCGGCGUCCUAGAGGAAUGACCAUCGCCCGCCUCUCGGGGCGGGCACAGAACUCGGCUUACAGGCCGGCUUUGUUC